ensembl:lncRNA
CCGUGAUUUGGAAUGUAAUGGAAAGUGAAACUAGAUCACUUGCCCCAAGCUGAGUUACCUGUGCCUUCUUUAGAAGAGUGACAACACCGACCAGCAAAGAGAGGCAGGAAACCUCUGCAGACGGGCCACCACGCUCAACUUUGUUUUUCCCCAUCUCACUCGAUUCUGUUGCCACCAACCAAAUCCAGUCCACUUAUUGAUGGGGCUAUGGGGACAGUGAAACCACCCUUAGAUACUCAAUAAAAGGGACUGAUCUUUUGACGAAGAGAAUGUCAUUCAGAAAGCUGAUGUAUUAACUGAUAAAGACAUUUUCUCUACCAGGUAUAGAAGUCAAGCUCUUCUUUUCUUAAAUUUCAGGUCUUGACAUACGGUGGGGUGCCAAAUCAGUUAAUUAACAAAUAUUUACUGGACACACACCAUAUACUCUGAAGUACCCCACUGGCAAUAAAUCUUAUGUUUGUGUCCAAGUAAUGAUAGGGCAGAUUCUACUAGGGGAAAACAAGAAAAAGCCCUUCAAACCUAGCAUUAAUGAAAUGUCACUCCAUGCUACUGUAAUCAUAUAAUUUUGUGAGCAUUUAUCUCAUCACAGCAGAAUGUUAUACAAUCAGGGGUUCUAACAGAUGUUCUAGAACUCAACUAUAAGGCGGUGAAUGGGAAUGUUGAAGCUGGGGAUGUCUAGACAUUCCUUGUUCCCAAACCAGAGGAUGGACUAUUUAAAUUAUGCAUUUGAGGUUAAACAAGAACAAAGGCCAGAGGAGCUCUGGACAGAAGUAACACUUUAUAUCUGUAUUGUCACCAUUCACAGAGACUAUCUGGCUUGGAAUUGUUGGUCAUCAGUUGGCAAAGGACUCCCUCUCCUGGAUUAACUGUAAAAGGAGGCAAAAAUCUUACAUGCUUUACAUUCUGCUCAAGUUUGUGCCUGAGUGGGGGAGGGGUUGCCCAGGGGUUGAGUAUGCAAUGAAAAGUUGCUGCCACCUACUGGCCCAGCACUGAAAUCUUCACUUAAAGCAGAAGCCUGAAACCUGUAUCCAUAACCGAAGACUAUACGUUCAGGGGAAACCCACAACUGCUUUUUGCUUUUCAAUCUCUCAGACUUUGAAAAAAAAAGGCCACUAAAUUGAUCUCCAGUUGUCUCACUUUCGUCAAGAUGAUUUCAAUCGACCCUAACGGCUCUCUAUUAGGAAAAGAUUAACGAGUAUACAAAUUAAUUUCUGAAAGCUUUAACUUGACAAUGUCUAAUUUACGUAAACUAGAGUUUACCCACGAUCCCGAAAGCUAAAAAAAAUCUAUUUCAUUACGUUUGAACUCUGAUGAUCACAGUAUUAAGAAGACAAUGGUAAAAUAUAAGUUCUGAAAUAUUGCUUAUAGUUUUCUAUAAAUAAGGGGGGUUAAAUAUUAUCAGUACGUUCACAGCUAGAAUCUUUAUAAAGCAAAGAUCUGGAAAGUUCAACAAAGGUAGUACCCACUAAUUCAAUAUUAGGUGAACCUAUAAUGAUCCAAUCAGCAGUGCAUUUAUAUAUAUAUAUCAAGGCCACAGAUACCUCGUCAGCACUUACAGUCCCUUUGAUUUCAAAUAUACAUGAAAAGGUAAUGUUAUAAUUGCACAAAGCUUGCUCAGGCAGCAUAGCAUAUUCCUCCAAAGUCAGACUCACACUACCUUUCCACUCACCUGUUGGUGUAUGGUCCCACCAUGAUUACUAGGCUGUCCCCUCUGAGCCCUUCCUUUUCUUUUCAUUGCUCUGAGAAGCACAGAGGAAACUCACCUCUGGAGUUCUACUGUUUUGUGGUGGGACUUUAUUUUAUUUAUUUAUUUAUUUAUUGUGGUUGGACUUUAUUUUAUCUUAUUGUAUUUUAUUUUGUGGUGGGACUUUAAUAGCCCAGCAAUGAUCAGGCAGGAUAAGACAGCGCUCCAUUAGAUCUUCUUACUUUGAGAAUACACU